CACGCUCCUAAUUACAGGCCACUGAAGGCUACGUGGGAGUUGUCCCAGCGAUAGUCAGUGGUUAGUGUUGAAACGCAGAGGGAACAGUGUGUCACACAGACUGUGUGUCUCUUCCUCCGGAGGCCCCAGCACCGUGCUGGAAGUUGACCGGUGACCACAGGUGACGGCCCAGAUCUGCGAAACCACUGGUAUGUUGUCGCCCAAACUCCGACACCACCUCCAAGCUUCAGCUCAAGGAUGAAUGCAGAUUGAAUCCGUGUGGAGUCCAGUGACACUGCCGAGCCCUCUUAUCGCCACACUCUGAUCAAAAAAAAGCGCUGUCAGCGGACUUGCUCACAACACCGGGACGAGGUGUGGCUUGGAUCAGCGAUAAAACUCUUAUCGAAGCCGAUUGACUGAGAUAAGGAUCCGCACGAGGUUCAUGUAACAGUCGGUGUUGACGCGCCGUGGACUCCAACCGGCAGAGUCAUGUGGCUCCAGCUCUGUGGACGAUGUGUUGGUCCACAGAGAGAAGCAAACAGAGAAGAGGCUGAGGAGGGAGGAGGACACGUGGAUCACACACACACACACACACACACACACACGCACACCUUACCGAUGUUUUCCCCGGCUGUAUGUACAGCGUGUUUCUCCCAGUGACAGAGGGACGUUGAGUGCAACUCAACUCACACUGCGUCAGACACACACAUGCACACGCUCUUCUCUGCGGUUUGGAGAUGUCACGUCUGGCUGAGUUUGGAGUGCAUCUAAGGGGCUGUGAUUAUUAUUCUCCAGUGCAGACGGCACGCGCACACAUGCACUCGCGCUCAGGCACGAUCACGAAGCGCUCACACUCCUCUCUGGAGGGCCUCGGUCGAGCUGGGGACUCAUCCAGCGUGAAGGCUGCAGUCGAUGACUCCGCUCAGCGCGGUUUAACGUUGCCUCGAGCUCCUUUCGAUCCACACCUGUGCUUACUGUCUGUGCACUCUACUCAUUGUUCUGCCUGCUACAUUCACACACGCGCAACGAGCUCUGUUCACUUCAACGACCACUGUAAGGACAUAGUCAAAGACGUAGUGUCUUUGAUGGUUUGUGUGUUGGCAAAAAACGGCACACUUUGUUCUUUUCCCUGUUGCCCAAAGGUUUUUGUUGGUUAUUUAUAAUUCAUCCAGUUGCUUAUUCUUAAAUGUAUUGUGCAGUAAUCUCACACCUCUGCACUCUGUUUUGCACAUCUUUCACUGUGCCACACCAUCUUUCAGUCACUCUAACGUCACUUCUUCUUGAUCAUUCUUUGUCACUGUCGAACCUACAAUUAUAUAUUGCAUUUAAGUGGACUCCUCCUGUAUAUUCUGCAUAUUCUCCAUUAAAUAAGAUCACAGCAAAAACGCCCCCUUUCAUCAGUUCAAUGUUAUGAAUAGAAUAGUUUAGUUUUAAAUUUGACGUGCAUUUGGGGCCUUGUUGUUGUGCUUUUAUAAAAAUGCACUAAGACAGACGUUAACUCUUUCAUCUUGUUUCAACAGCAAUUUAUUUACUCUGUCACACGGGCCACUAGAAAACAACUAAAGACUGAAGUUAGUUUUCUCAACACUUUUGACAAAAGACUCAUGAUGAACGGACAUGAAGAACACUCUUGUGGAUGCGGCAAGAGCACUCAGUCAUGCAAGGUUUGAAAGAAUGCAACCAUCUUUUUGUGUGUGUUACUCUUAAAAUAGACUCUAUAUAUUUUUUUAUAGAAUGGGGGAGGGGGCGCUGUAAUAUAACCACACAAAAUUGCUAUGUGGAUUAUCACAAACCAUUGAUACCAGCAGGAAUGUAAAUUUGAGACAGUUGUUUUCCGAUAAAAGUUUCAAACAUCUCAUUCUUCAGAAAAGAAAUGACGACCUCAGUAU